UGGAAAUGUUACUUUUACAACUAUUAUUCCCAUGCUGAUUGAGACUCAUAGUUAUGAAAGAUGGAAGGCAGGAGCGACUGGCUGGCCUCCUCGUCCCGCCCCGAGGGCUUCGAGCAGCUGAGGCUGAAGAGCAAAGCCCGCGAGCCCUCGCCCAGCCUGACCCGAGUGGGCUCCAACUUCUACAGCGCCGUCAAGCAGCAGGACUACAGUGCCAGCGUCUGGCUCCGGAGGAAAGACAAAUUGGAACACGUGAGGCACUUUCCUCAACUCAUAUUCGUGUCUUGCAUUCCAGCUUCUUCUUCCUGCUUU
rnacentral:lncRNA from 11 species